rnacentral:rRNA from 1 species
UACGAAGGGUGCAAGCGUUAAUCGGAAUUACUGGGCGUAAAGGGUGCGUAGGCGGUUCGUUAAGUCUGUCGUGAAAUCCCCGGGCUCAACCUGGGAAUGGCGAUGGAUACUGGCGAGCUAGAGUGUGUCAGAGGAUGGUGGAAUUCCCGGUGUAGCGGUGAAAUGCGUAGAGAUCGGGAGGAACAUCAGUGGCGAAGGCGGCCAUCUGGGACAAUACUGACGCUGAAGCACGAAAGCGUGGGGAGCAAACAGG